GAAGCCACCAGCAUUUGAGUGUGUUACCACCACUGAAUGACGGCUCAGGUACAUCUCUCGCCUCUCAACAUUUUAUCCCCACAAAAUGUUGUACUCUAUCCUGUGCAGGUUACUGGUGGUGGUGAUGAUGGUGGUGAUGGCGAUGGCAGCAACAGCCGAUACCAACACCAACCAAAAACCUGUGGGUCCAAGUCAUUUUGGUUCCGGUGUUGGUCCCAGAGAGGGAAUGAAUAGGAAUCACAUAAGAUUCGGCAAAUAACACGACCAGCACCACCUGUAACGACCAAUCUGCCGCCACCACCACCACCACGGACGACCACUCCCCUCUUCCCUUCCCUCCCUUUCCUCCUUCCCUUUUUUCCUUGAAAUGUACUCAUAAACAUUAGAAGUACUGGCUUUAGCUUUGUAACUCAGAGUUGGCUAAGGUCUCUCUCUCUCUCUCUCUCUCUCUCUCUCUCUCUCUCUCUCUCUCUCUCUCUCUCUCUCUCUCUCUCUCUCUCUCUCUGAUUUUUCGGAAUAGAAUUUGCAAGACCAUAUUUGUUUUUUAUCUUCUAAUUU